CUCCUAUCUCCGUUGCCCUUCUCUCGCGCUCUCUAUUUCUUUCUGCCAUUGUCGUUCGACUCCUUCUCUCCAAAGCUCUCUUUCUUUAAAGAACCUUUGAAAAGGACGUUGAAGUUCUCUGCUUCGAUUUGCUAACCUAGCAAGACUCCUCGAAUUGCUCUCUUUUAUGUUUGCGUUUUCACAUUUGCUGAUUUUCUCGUGUUCUCUCUACGGGAAUUGCCCCCAAUGGCUGACGAGUGCAGAUUCAGAAUAGGAUACGCCUUGGCGCCGAAGAAACAGAACAGCUUCAUCCGAGACUCUCUGCUGAAUCUUGCGGGGUCUCGUGGCGUGGAUCUCGUCAAGAUUGACCCGACCCUGCCGCUGGUGGAUCAGGGCCUAUUCGACUGCGUACUACACAAAUUGUACGGUGAGGAGUGGAAGCAGCAACUGGAAGAGUUCCGUCUCAGGAACCCUAAUGCGGCCAUCGUGGACCCCCCCGAUGCGAUCGAGCGCCUCCACAACCGAAUCUCCAUGCUACAGGUCGUUUCGGAUCUCAGGAUAGAGUCCCGGAACGAAACGUUCGGGAUCCCCAAGCAAAUCGUCAUCUACGACAAUGAAACCCUCUUCGAUGGGCAGGCAUGGGAGAGCCUCAAGUUCCCGGUGAUCGCAAAGCCCUUGGUCGCCGACGGCAGUGCCAAAUCGCACAGAAUGAACUUGGUGUUCAACCACGACGGACUAAACAAGCUCAGGCCCCCGAUUGUCCUCCAAGAAUUCGUGAACCACGGCGGGGUCAUCUUCAAGGUCUACGUUGUCGGCCAGUACGUCAGGUGCGUGAAACGCAAGUCGUUGCCGGACGUCUCAGAAGAGAAAUUGGGUGUCUCUGAAAGCGUAUUGUCGUUUUCGCAGGUAUCGAAUGUCGCUAGCAACGAAAAGGUUGACGACAAAUACUACAAGAUGAUGCAUUUGGACGAUACUGAGAUGCCGCCGCAGAGUUUCCUCACUGAUAUCGCCAACGGACUGCGGCAUGCCCUGAAACUGAAUCUCUUUAACUUCGAUGUCAUUCGGGACGCGAGGUCUGGGAGUCGCUACCUUAUAAUUGACAUCAAUUACUUUCCCGGGUAUGCCAAAGUGCCGGGUUACGAGACUUUAUUGACGGAUUUCUUCUUGGAUGUAGUGAAUAAGGAAGAGAAGGAGGUGGUGAAGGUGAUUAGUUCUGACAAAGAUAUAAGAAAGAUUGUGAGCGAUAAUUUUUGCAGUGAUGGGAAUGAAAUUGGUCCGGACGAGACGGAGAAGUCGAUUCAAUCCUGGCAUCAAUGUUAGCAAAUUACCCGGUAAAUCGGGUGAAGGGUGUGAUUUGGUUGUAUUGGGGUUUAGGUAGAAGAUGGUUUUGGUACAGUUUGGAAUUGAGUAGGUUUCGAUGACGGGUAUUAGAGUUUUAGCCUCUUAACAGCAAUUACGUGUUGUGUCAAUGUUGAUGAUGUAUAUUCCACCUGCAGUUUUACUCUGGAGAUAGGCUACAACCUAUGUUCAACUCUGUGAUUUCUACUCCUUGUAUUGGUGUUGGAUCCAAUGUCACUAUAAUGGUGUCAAACUUCGAACACCCUGCACUGGAAUCAGAUUCGCCAUGCUCUUUGGUAUCUGAUCCAAUCAUCUCUGCUAGCUUUUGUGGAUCAUUCUUACUGUAAGGUAUAUCUUUUAUAUGAGAUAUAGACAAAAAUUAAUUUUCAGCAUGUUAUCUGAUUCAGUCAUCUCAGCGGUGUUGUUGGAUGAGCAAUAUUUAUUCUGUAGAGAUCAAAGAUGAAAAUUC